GACGAACGCUGGCGGCGUGCCUAAUACAUGCAAGUUGAGCGCUGAAGGUUGGUACUUGUACCAACUGGAUGAGCAGCGAACGGGUGAGUAACGCGUGGGGAAUCUGCCUUUGAGCGGGGGACAACAUUUGGAAACGAAUGCUAAUACCGCAUAAAAACUUUAAACACAAGUUUUAAGUUUGAAAGAUGCAAUUGCAUCACUCAAAGAUGAUCCCGCGUUGUAUUAGCUAGUUGGUGAGGUAAAGGCUCACCAAGGCGAUGAUACAUAGCCGACCUGAGAGGGUGAUCGGCCACAUUGGGACUGAGACACGGCCCAAACUCCUACGGGAGGCAGCAGUAGGGAAUCUUCGGCAAUGGACGAAAGUCUGACCGAGCAACGCCGCGGGAGUGAAGAAGGUUUUCGGAUCGUAAAACUCUGUUGGUAGAGAAGAACGUUGGUGAGAGUGGAAAGCUCAUCAAGUGACGGUAACUACACAGAAAGGGACGGCUAACUACGUG
rnacentral:rRNA from 1 species